rnacentral:rRNA from 1 species
UACGAAGGGGGCUAGCGUUGUUCGGAAUCACUGGGCGUAAAGCGCACGCAGGCGGAUCGUUAAGUCAGGGGUGAAAUCCCGAGGCUCAACCUCGGAACUGCCUUUGAUACUGGCGAUCUUUGAGUCCGGGAGAGGUGAGUGGAACUCCGAGUGUAGAGGUGAAAUUCGUAGAUAUUCGGAAGAACACCAGUGGCGAAGGCGGCUCACUGGCCCGGUGCUGACGCUCAUGUGCGAAAGCGUGGGGAG